AUGCUACUGCGGGCCAAGAUCCGCUGCGGCGAGGAUGACUUGUCCGUAUUCGAGGCCCAGAUCCUGGAGGACAAUGGCCUGCAGCGCGCCCACUCCAGCCCCACACUGCAGGACAGCAGCCAGGCCAGCCAGGCCUCCCAGGGCAGCAGCACCAAGGAGCCGGUGGGCUGCAGCGGUAUAGGAAAAGGCUCCAAGCGCACAGAGGGCCAGAGAUACAGCUACCGCCAGGCCGUCAAGAAGUUCGUGAAUGUCAUUGAAUGCAGUAUGCUGCGACCUGGCUGUUCUGCUGUAGGUUUGUGAAUGUCAUUGAAUGCAGUAUGCUGCGACCUGGAUGACCUGCUGUUCUACUAAGGAGCCUAUUUAAGGAAUGUGGCUGAGGAGGAUAUUCUAGCCGGCAGAUUCAUGUAAUGUUUUGAAGCAGGAAUGGUUUAUCCAGCUGUGUCCAUCGCAUGUAGUUACCUUGCUGAAAAAAAAAUAUCUGUACAAUUUUAGUACAGACAAUUGAAUGUUAAGUCGAAGUUUCACUUGGUGUAUUUUGCCUCUCGUCUUUUCCUAUCUCACUUCAGCUAUUUUUCCAUUUGUCACCUUCCUUUUCCAUGAUCUCUUUCCACUCCAACCUCAUACCGUCUCUAUUUUUCCCCUUCACUCAUCCUCCUCUCUCGCGUCACUUCCUUUCCCCCUUGUCAGUUUGCUCUGCCCUCUGUCUCAGUCAUCAUCUCACUGCUAUCACUCUGCUACACCAUCUUUUGGGAAGCUGCCUUCAUCAUCAUUUGCUUGUGUAUAUUGUUACUAUUACUGAUGACAUAUACCUUGAAUUGUAUUGUAACUUGAUGUUACUGCUGUGAUAUUACUGCUUGGUACUUGUAUUUACUGAUAGAUGUUUGACACUUGUGGCAUAUGUGAUCAGGUUAGUCUAUCACAGAAGGACAUGUCACCUCGGGACAUUGGAGGGUACAAGGUAUGAGGGCCCUUUACAUACAAAUGGACGUUGUGUAGUUCAAUCAACAGGUGAACCACACUGAAAAUGUCAUCUUCGACACACUAUUUCUUCAUAUGUUGGGGUCUAUGCAGUACUUGCCCUGUUCCCUCUGGCCCAGGCACUAACCAUGAGGGAGAGAGGCACAGACAGUUUGAUACGGUACGCUGUCUGUUGUACAGCAGUAUGAUAGUCAGGACUCCGCGUCAAGCUCAGCGAGCUCUCUAUGCCCCACCCUGCCACCCCGCCCCCUCUGACGUUAUCACAGAGCAGCUGCAGGGUCUCCAUGGCACUGGUUUGCAUGGAAACCGCUAGUUCCCUCCAAGUAUAUCAAAUGUGCCUAUUUGAUUGUGACAUUUCCGGGAAAUCAAAUCUAAAUGUUGGCUCCUUGAUACUGAAAUGAAAGCCUAGGUGUUACUGUAUGUUUGACCCUUUCCCAGCCAGCACUUCUGAAUGUGACAUGUGUGUAUAUACUGUAUAUAUACAGCAUGAGAUAAUAUUAUAAUGGUCUGCUUUCCUUUGUAUUAUGUUUAGAGUAUUUAAUGAAAGGUUAAUAUAUAGAACAACAUUUUUGUCCUGCAGUUCAUUGUCAUGAUUUUUUUUUUUUAAUUAUAAAGCAGAAUGAAGGAAAAGUUGUUGUAUUUAUGCUGUUUUCUGCUCAUGUGUUGUAGACACCACACCAAGCCACCAAUGCAUUCAAAACUGUGAUAAAGUGUACUACAGUGGGGUUCUGACUGAUUUCAGUUUUCUUAGACUGCUGCCAAGGAGAGACGUUUGAAAUGUUUUUACUUGGGUAGUUCUACUCAUUUUUAGCUGUACACGUGUCGACUGCCUGUUAAAACCUCACUUCUUUAAGGAAACAUUGUUUGUAUAUGAGCUCUUCUGGGGAGGCAUAGCGGGGAAAAUAAAAGUGUUUCAGAAAGUGAUUGUUUGUGCAUUGUUGUAUUUUGUCAAAUAUCAUAGUAAAACUACAUAAAAUAAGAUACCACCACAAAUGGGGCCAGUACUGGAACUCCAGAGGACAUAGAAAUAAAUACAAAAUGUUUCCCUCAUUAUGUUGAAAUCACGACUUACACGAUUUACAUGGCCAACGGUGGACACCCCUUCAAAUGAGUGAAUUCAAUUAUUUCAGCCACAACUGUUGCUGACAGGUGUAUAAAAUCAAGCACAACGCCAUGAUAUCUCCAUAGACAAACAUUGGCAGCAAAAUUACCCUUACUGAAGAGCUCAGGGACUUUCAAUGUGGCACCGUCAUAGGGUGGCACCAUUCCUGAAGUACGUAGUGCUUAAAAAUCGUCUGUCCUCGGUUGCAUCACUCACUACCGAGUUCCAAACUGCCCCUGGAAGCAACAUCGGCACAAGAACUGUUCGUCGGGAGCUUCAUGAAAAGGAUUUCCAUGGCCGAGCAGCCAACAAUGGCCAACAAUGGCAAACUGAGGAAUUCCAAACAAACUGUAGGUGUUACAGUAGAGUAUGUGUCUAGUCAGUGAAAUGAUUUGUAUGACCGGAGGAGCUGUCCUUCAGCACCACAACAUUUUGACUCACCAUUUGGGACUGAAAUAACCAUUCGACUGUAUCCUACAUUAAAUGUUGGAGUAUUUAGAAACCUCAACAUGUGAUUCACUUCGCCUGUUUUGCUGUUAAAAAUGUUCUGUACUACCUGUUAAUUGUUAUUUGCGACUGCGUUUUUUUCUUCUAUUGAGAGGCUGACCUCUCUGUUAAAACUAUUUACGAGAUUAAAAUAAACUUUUAUUGGUAGUUUGAUCAUCUUUCAUUGGUAGUCUGAAACCACAGACCUCGAUGUUAACGUUUCUUGCACAUUCAAUCCAUUUAAAAUAGAAGUGCGACCCCACCUUUUGCAUGCCUUUAAAAUGUGAUUGUAGUGGAGCCAAAUCUGGAAGACAUCUAUAACUGACAGACAUAAUGACGUUUUUGCAUGUGUUAAUCACUGAUCAAAAUAAAAAACGGAUGCGCUGAUCCACCGUGGGCUCUGCCUCAGCCAUAGUCAAUCUAUCAUCAAUAAGUCCACUCCUAUUUAUAGUUUAUCUCCUGAUCUUGACAAAAUAACUUGUGUUAUUUUUUUGAUAAAGAAAAGCAUUAUCUUCUGAUCUCGACAAAACCAGGGCAAAUGUAUUUAUUUAUUUAUAUAUCCUCUCUGGACUGUCAUAGGCCAGAGCGUAUGGAACAAGAAGAAAGUAAAACUGUGUGUGUCAGUCACGUACUUUCUCCCUCAUGGCGUUCAAGGUCUUUGGCAUGACGUAAUACUGAGCAACAAUUUUUGUCGGACACAACAGUUGUGGCUAGAUGGAUACAGCUACCGACGGAAUUGAUGCAUAAAUCGUCAAAAAACGUUUUUUUUGUAUUUUCGGGGAGAACGUUAACGAACCCUAAAACGAACUAUUGUCCUAACCUUAACCUAAUUUUCCUAACCUGCUACGAAAAGUAAAUGUCCUUAGCUUUAUACAAUCUAGUCCUCAUCAGGAGCUCAAUUAUAACCGUAUAAUACAUGUAAUAAAUAUCUGCGUGUGCCAUUUCUGAAAAGACUACACAAGCAGGCUACAGGCCUACUUACAGUGGUAGUCUAUACACUUCAAUGCAAAAUAUCAACUGUCUAUUCAUCUGUUAAAUUCUACUGUAAGUUAUGAACCUCGCUCCCUUUCUGAUGCAAAAACUUGAAAUUACAAUAUCUAAUAGGCACAAUGAGAGAUGUGCAUGGUAAUUCGCUGUAUGGCUACUUCGGGAAUAUGAACUCAUCAUGGCCAGCAAAGGUGAGGAAUUUAUUCUACAAUGGUUAUGAUACUGUAUAUGUACAAUGUUAAUAAAUUAAAUAUUGUCUACUGAAGAAAUGUAACAUUACAUUAUUCAGAUGCAGUAGCCUACAAAUGUCAAUGGAAAAGGUGAACCGUCUGUUCUACUGUUAAACUGCGCAUCAGUUCGGGUCAAAUAGAGCAAAUACUUGAAAUGGCUUAUCUAUUUGCUACUGUGAAGUGGUUCCAGUUAAAUAAUAGAUGGAGGAGCGAAUGGUAGACUAUCCUAACUAUUUCGCGAAUAUUAAACCAUCACAGUCAUCGUAAAUAAAUGAGGCCCCUGGCCCCCCGUUUCAUUUUUUUAAAUUCAGAAAAGCUGCCGGGUUUCUUGGUGACGUCACAUCUAGGAAAGCGCACAUUCCUGUCUAGGUGCAUUGGUCAGACACAAGAAGAUUAUCUUUAUUUUUCUGGAAAAAAACAGCCAAUGACUCUCGUAUGAAAUAGCAAAGUAACGUAAUACUUAUCUUAGAUGAUAGUAUAACUCCAAUAGUUUCCCAGUUUUGAUAGCCAGCAGCGUUAGCUAGCUGUCUGUCCAACGAGCUAGCUAGCUAACGGUAGCUAUGUUUACUUCGUCUACGAGCUUCGUUGAACAGUCAUGGGUACAACCCUGCGAGGAAAAUAUGGGCGAUUGUAAAGUUUAAACGUCUAUAUUGGCUAUUAAUACGUUUUGUUUACGGACAUCAUCUGACGGUGGAGCUAAGUUGAAGGUACUAGUAAGGCAAACUUGAAAGUUGUUUAGCUAGCUAAUGUUAGCUAGCACCACUAACGUUAGCUGUUGUAAGUAGUUUAGCUAUCAAGCUAACAGUUAGCUAGUAAAUGCUUGAUUUACAGCAUAGCUGGCUAACUGUACAUGUUGCCAAUUUGCAUAGCCAAAUGUAACAGUAAUCGU
rnacentral:lncRNA from 13 species